GUGGAAUUGUCUGCCUCAGACAAUUGGUGGAGACCAAUUAUCUGGAUGCCUGCAAGAGAGAGUUAGAUUAAGCUCUUAAAGAUAGCAGAGUCAAUGGAUAUGGGGUGAAGGCAGGAACGGGGCACUGAAUGUUGAUGAU